rnacentral:lncRNA from 1 species
GUUGUGAGCCACCAUGUGGUUGCCGGGAUUUGAACUCAGGACCUUCAGAAGAGCAGUCGGGUGCUCUUACCUGUUGAACCAUCUCACCAGCCUCUGAUCUGGUUUUCUGUGUGUGGCCUGGGAUAAAGGACUGAGAUGAGGGAUUGAACAUAAACACAGAGACCUUGACUGUGGACUCAAAUGUUGUAGGCCCACCCCUACACAAACUACACAGCUAUAGACAGACCGUGGACCAGAACCCCCUGCCUAUUGUGGUGCAAUAGAAAAACAGAGCCACGUGUGAGGUAUGGCUGAGAGUGAGAGAAAAGAGAGACCGUGCAGAGGAACACAAAGAUGACAGACACUAGUGACCAAUCCCUCACAGCUCAUCAGAGCUCGGCACUUCUGGAGCACAUACUCCAAGCCAGGGUAAGGUGACAUUCAUCAUGACGUCUGGGGCGGGAGUGGGGGAGGUGAGGGUGAAAACUGGACCGGUUUUCUGGAAUGCUGAUGUGAGAGUGAAGUCCAGCAAACUUAAAGUAACUGGGAAGGGCCUGCCUGGAGGCGAGGAGGCCCAGGGGGCAAGACAUCUGCUGAACAAGAUAGAGCCGGCUCCGGAGGAGAGACUCCGCCGUGCGCAGAAGCUCUGCGCUCAGCUCAUCUGGUGCGCUCUGCACUACCCACGGCCAGGUGCGGAUGACUCAGCCAAAGAGGACGCCGGUGCUGAGUGCACCAGGCCGCCGUGACACCUGGAAAGGCUCUAAGCUGCCCUCUGGUGGUCACCUCCACCUCCGCUUGGACCUCCACACAGGCUUAGACCUCCGUCUUCACACGGUCUGGAAAUAGAGCCACUGAGCAGCUGGGAAGUGAGCCCUGGAAUGGGCCUUAGGAGUCCCAGUUCCCAGAGACAGCAAUGAACGUGCCUGGCUGUGAGGACGUCGGUCUUGGGUUAUAAGCUCAGUGAACUCCGUUUGUCCACUGAUUGCUCUCUAGUCGAGUUCCUGAUAGCAAGCAUGUCCACCCUGAAUGCUCCUCCCUGUCAAACACCAGGCUUGAGGCUUAAGCUCCUCGAUCUUACAUCACUCAGCUGGUUGGGGGCCUAUACCCGGACCCAGGGCUCCGUGUGGAUCUGGGAGUCUCAGUGCAGGGUGAGGGCAGAGAGCUGAGGACCUCCGAUCCUGACUUCAGUUGCUGUCCCCAUGGGCUCACUUAACUUUCCUAUGUGUGGUAAACCCGAAGGGCGCUUGCCCUUCUCAGAUGAGGGCACAUAAGAAUGGGCCUCUCUCCCUUUUCCUCGAGUCAGGCAGGAGCUCUUGGGGCUGACACUGCUACCGAAGGUGCCCUGGCAAGUUAAUGACUGUGUGCUCUGCCUCCUUUGUUUCCUUUAUCCUCUAACCCUUUCCUCACAGAUGACUCCCGCACUUGCACAGUGGCAGGUGCCCUUCGUGCAGGAACCUUAGUAGGUAAGGGCUGAGGACUGGAUUGAGUCAGAGCAGUCGGC